rnacentral:rRNA from 1 species
ACGAAGGGUGCAAGCGUUGUUCGGAAUCACUGGGCGUAAAGAAUGCGUAGGCGGCUUAACAAGUCGGGAGUGAAAGCCCAAGGCUCAACCUUGGAACUGCUCUCGAAACUGUUUUGCUAGAGUCCCGGAGGGGUUAGCGGAAUUCCGAGUGUAGAGGUGAAAUUCGCAGAUAUUCGGAGGAACACCAGUGGCGAAGGCGGCUAACUGGACGGGAACUGACGCUGAGGCAUGAAAGUGUGGGGAUCAAACAG